rnacentral:rRNA from 1 species
UACGUAGGGUGCGAGCGUUAAUCGGAAUUACUGGGCGUAAAGCGUGCGCAGGCGGUUAUAUAAGACAGUUGUGAAAUCCCCGGGCUCAACCUGGGAACUGCAUUUGUGACUGCACGGCUGGAGUGCGGCAGAGGGGGAUGGAAUUCCGCGUGUAGCAGUGAAAUGCGUAGAGAUGUGGAGGAACACCGAUGGCGAAGGCAGCCUCCUGGGCCAACACUGACGCUCAUGCACGAAAGCGUGGGGAGCAAACAGG